AGAGUUUGAUCCUGGCUCAGGAUUAACGCUGGCGGCAUGCCUAAGACAUGCAAGUCGAACGGAGUGCCCCACUGAAACUUGAAUAAAGUCUGAGAGCUUGCUCAAAGAUGGAAUGAUGGUGGAUGUGGAUUCUGCACUCAGUGGCGAACGGGUGAGUAACACGUAGGUUACCUGCCUCUAAGUUGGGGACAACAGUUGGAAACGACUGCUAAUACCGAAUGUGAUAGAAAUAUUAAAGGAGCCUUUAAAGCUUCGCUUAGAGAUGGGCCUGCGGCGUAUUAGCUUGUUGGUGGGGUAAUGGCCUACCAAGGCGACGAUGCGUAGCCGGACUGAGAGGUUGAUCGGCCACACUGGGACUGAGACACGGCCCAGACUCCUACGGGAGACAGCAGUUAGGAAUAUUCGGCAAUGGGGGAAACCCUGACCGAGCAAUGCCGCGUGUGAGAUGAAGGUCCUCUGGAUUGUAAAUCACUUUUAUUUGGGAAGAACUGUAAGUAUAGGAAAUGAUAUUUACUUGACGGUACCUUUUGAAUAAGCCCCGGCUAACUACGUGCCAGCAGCCGCGGUAAUACGUAGGGGGCGAGCGUUAUCCGGAUUUAUUGGGCGUAAAGCGUGCGUAGGCGGUUUAUUAAGUCCAGAAUUAAAGCCCGAGGCUUAACCUCGGUUCGUUCUGGAUACUGGUAGACUAGAGUAUGGUAGAGGCAAACGGAAUUCCUAGUGUAGCGGUGAAAUGCGUAGAUAUUAGGAGGAACACCAGUGGCGAAGGCGGUUUGCUGGGCCAUCACUGACGCUGAGGUACGAAAGCGUGGGUAGCAAAUAGGAUUAGAUACCCUAGUAGUCCACGCUGUAAACGAUGAGCACUAAGUGUCGGGUUACCGGUGCUGAAGUUAACACAUUAAGUGCUCCGCCUGAGUAGUACGGUCGCAAGACUGAAACUCAAAGGAAUUGACGGGCACCCGCACAAGCGGUGGAGCAUGCCGUUUAAUUCGAAAAUACCCGAAAAACCUUACCUAGACUUGACAUCCCUGGGAAAACUCUGGAAACAAAAUGGAGGUUAUCCCGGUGACAAGGGGUGCAUGGUUGUCCUCCACUCCGGCCCGGAAAAGUUCGGUUAAAUCCCCUACACAACGCAACCCCUUGUUGUAAGUUGCCACAAUUCCCGUUGGAGAACCUUUUAAGACUGCCGGGGAUAAAACCGAAAAAGAGAUGGGGUGAAGUCCAAUAAUCAUUGGCCUUUACUUCUUGGGGAACAGGCGUGCUACAAUGGCUGGUACAAAGAGUCGCAAUACCGCGAGGUGGAGCCAAUCUCCAAAGCCAGUCUCAGUUCGGAUUGAAGUCUGCAACUCGACUUCAUGAAGUUGAAAUCGCUAGUAAUCCCGGAUCAGAAUGCCGGGGUGAAUACGUUCUCGGGUGUUGCACACACCGCCCGUC
rnacentral:rRNA from 1 species